GGGGACGUAGCUCAGUGGUAGAGCAACCGGCUCUUAACCGGUUUGUCGUGGGUUCAAAUCCCACCGUCCUCACCA
rnacentral:tRNA from 3 species